GUAGGAAGCGGCAGGGGCGCCGGACCCUUGGAUUGGAUGGCACGAAGACCUCACGGAGAGAGCUCCAGGGGGAGGGACUGACUUGGAGCCCUUGUCGAAUCUCUGAGCGAGGGACGGCCAGCCUGCCAGG
rnacentral:lncRNA from 1 species